GAGUAACACGUAAACAACCUGCCUUCAGGAUGGGGACAACAGACGGAAACGACUGCUAAUACCGAAUAAGUUCCAAGGGCCGCAUGGCCCAUGGAAGAAAAGGUGGCCUCUACCUGUAAGCUAUCGCCUGAAGAGGGGUUUGCGUCUGAUUAGCUGGUUGGAGGGGUAACGGCCCACCAAGGCGACGAUCAGUAGCCGGUCUGAGAGGAUGAACGGCCACACUGGAACUGAGACACGGUCCAGACUCCUACGGGAGGCAGCAGUGGGGAAUCUUCCGCAAUGGGCGAAAGCCUGACGGAGCAACGCCGCGUGAGUGAUGACGGCCUUCGGGUUGUAAAACUCUGUGAUCCGGGACGAAAAGGCAGAGUGCGAAGAACAAACUGCAUUGACGGUACCGGAAAAGCAAGCCACGGCUAACUACGUGCCAGCAGCCGCGGUAAUACGUAGGUGGCAAGCGUUGUCCGGAAUUAUUGGGCGUAAAGCGCGCGCAGGCGGCUUCCCAAGUCCCUCUUAAAAGUGCGGGGCUUAACCCCGUGAUGGGAAGGAAACUGGGAAGCUGGAGUAUCGGAGAGGAAAGUGGAAUUCCUAGUGUAGCGGUGAAAUGCGUAGAGAUUAGGAAGAACACCGGUGGCGAAGGCGACUUUCUGGACGAAAACUGACGCUGAGGCGCGAAAGCGUGGGGAGCAAACAG
rnacentral:rRNA from 1 species